GGUUCCUUAGCUCAGUUGGUUAGGUCCGAUUCACCAAAAGCUAAGACAUGAUUCAAUCAUGCUAACAUACCCCAGAGCGUCGUGCUAAUAGUCGUCAAUGACAAUGUGUACGCGAAGGUCGCGGGUUCGACCCCCGUAGGAACCA